CCGGCUGGAACAUUUCAGCUUGACUGCCACGUCAGUUUGCCUACACUUUUCCUACCCCUCUUAUUCUCUUAGCUUUUUCAGAAAAGGCAGCGAAAGUGAGAGAAAACCAACACCGAGAGAAUGCGGUUUUUCUUUUCUAAUUUGCAUCAGACUUUUUUAGGUUUCUUUUCUUAAUCGAAAAAAGAACAACAACAGAGGCCUGAGAGAGAGAGACCGAGUGACGCAAUGACCUCUGGGUCCUUCCUCCCACCCCCCCACCCAGCCUGCCCAGUGUUCAGACUACCUGUUCCUAGAGCUACAGCUGAACAGUAGUCUGCACAUUGGUUAGGCUAGGCUGGGAUGCACACAGCUCCUCACCUCUGAUGGCGACGGCACCAAAUCCUCAUUAGGGAUAAAUUACACAAAAGCAUGCUGGAGUAAUUUCACGCUUUUCUGGUGUUGAACUGAGUUAUACCCAUUUAUGUCACAUUAAAUAAGUCAAUGGAGAACAGAGUCCUCUCACCUCCUCGUCUUUGUACCAGGACAGAGACUCGGCUGUCAGCACGAACCAGUAUUCCUUGGAGCCUCCCUUCAUGAUGCUGAUGUGGAGGGUUAGCCAGCCUUUCCUGAUUACCUACACAGUGAGGGAAACGUGUGGAGGACACCAGGAGCACGGGGAGGUUGGGAAUUUUAGGAAGUUGGAAGAAAGCAACAGAAACAGUCAAGCUUUUUCACUGUUAAAAUUAGGACAAAAAAAAAAAAAAAAGAAUUAUUUGAUUCAAGGAUUU